rnacentral:lncRNA from 1 species
UUAGUUUUUGUCUUUCUUAUCGCCGGUUUUAUUUGGUUAAUUGAUUCAAUUUGUAAUCAUUUAAAUGGCUUGCAUAUGCCUUAAAAACAAGCCAUGAGUCGUUGGAGGAAGCGUAGUUGCUUGCUAGGUAGUUUGAGAGCAUCGAGGGUGGAGAAUUGAACCAGAAGAGCAGUUGUGAGGCACAGGGCAUCUUGCAUCUCACUAGUGAGUGGUUCAGCAUUCGCAUGGAAUGACACGGAAGGUACUACUUGCUCCACAAUCCUUCCUUCUGCCCAUCUAAAAAAGAGAACAACAAUAAAAGAACCAUUUCUGAAGUGAAACCUGGUUUAAAACCAGGGCCAAAAAACCUUAGUGGAAGGUAUGGUGAAAUACACCUGUAAUCCCAGCACUUAGGAAGAUGAAGCAGGAGGAUCUCUUUGAGUUAGAGGCCAGCCUGUGCUACAUAGUGAUUUCAAGGCCAGCCUGAAAAAGACUGUCUCAAAAAACACAACAAAACCAAAACCCUUAGAAAUUCUUUCCAGAAAUUUUUUCUAUCUC